AGUGGCAUAAGCCUCCAGGCAAGGUARUCACCUGUCACAAUUUGGGGAGGGUAGUAYGACUCCCYYCCCWUKUUGUGAAGUGGCAAAUAUUUUUUYCYGUAAAAAAWCCCCCCAGCACCUGGUGRGGUUGCCCAGAUCUUUUUCCGUGAAAAUGACUCCCCCAGCAGCUUGKRAGAUGGCCCAGAUCGUUUACCGUGAAAAAAUUAGAGUGUUCAAAGCGGGCAGAUACUUUUUCCUGCCACCGAAUACAUUAGCAUGGGAUAAUGGAAUAGGACCCUGACCUCCUAUUUUCAGUUGGUUUUGUACUUACAGCGAGGUUCAUAUCAGGGUAAUGAUUAAUAGGGAUAGUUGGGGGCAUUAAUAUUUAAUUGUCAGAGGUGAAAUUCUUGGAUUUAUGAAAGAUUAACUUCUGSGAAAGCGUUUGCCAAGGAUGUUUUCAUUAAUCAAGAACGAAAGUUAGGGGAUCGAAGWYGAUCAGAUACCGUYGUCCCUUAACCYUYAACGAUGCCCCCCAKCKUUUAGGAGARAAUGACUCCCCUASCACCKUUGAGAUGKCCCAGAGAGUAACCUAGA
rnacentral:rRNA from 1 species